rnacentral:rRNA from 1 species
AGAGUUUGAUCAUGGCUCAGAGUGAACGCUGGCGGCAGGCCUAAUACAUGCAAGUCGAACGGCAGCACAGCAGAGCUUGCUCUGUGGGUGGCGAGUGGCGGACGGGUGAGGAAUACGUGGGAAUCUGCCCAGUCGUGGGGGAUAACGUAGGGAAACUUACGCUAAUACCGCAUGCGCCCUUCGGGGGAAAGCCGGGGACCUUCGGGCCUGGCGCGAUUGGAUGAGCCCACGUCGGAUUAGCUAGUUGGCGGGGUAAAGGCCCACCAAGGCGACGAUCCGUAGCUGGUCUGAGAGGAUGAUCAGCCACACUGGAACUGAGACACGGUCCAGACUCCUACGGGAGGCAGCAGUAGGGAAUAUUGGACAAUGGGCGCAAGCCUGAUCCAGCCAUGCCGCGUGAGCGAAGAAGGCCCUCGGGUUGUAAAGCUCUUUUGUCCGGAAAGAAAAGCGCCGGGUUAAUACCCUGGUGUCCUGACGGUACCGGAAGAAUAAGCACCGGCUAACUUCGUG